rnacentral:tRNA from 1 species
GGGCCUGUAGCUCAGGUGGAUAGAGCACGAGUUUCCUAAACUCGGUGUCGCGCGUUCGAGUCGCGCCAGGCCCA